GUUAUUACAUCAAUCACAUGUGAUUAAUAUAAAGCAUUCAAAUGAUUUGGCUACUCAUUAGCCGUUUUACCAAACAGUUUCCUUCAAAUGAUUUUUAUAAACAUUUUAUAUGUUUUAAACUCCUUAUUACACUGUACAUUUUACUCUGUAUAUUACAUUUCAAACUUAUUUACAAUUGUGUUUCAACCAAAUGUUUCUUUAUACUAAACUGUUUUACCAAAACUUAUGCCUUCAAAUUGUUUUAUAGAUUGACAUCAAGUCGAUCUUUUGUAACACCGUAAAUUUUCAAACAAAAUUUUCAAGUUAUUUUCAUUCAAAAAAAGCAUAAACAUUUCAAGUGUCAUGCCAAAAAAUACAAGUCAUCUAAAUCCCAAGAUCACAAAACAUCCUUCAGUGUGUACAGAUCACGCUGGCGCCUUCCCACGGUCCUCGCUAGUACCUGAAACACAUACAUAACAACUGUAAGCAUAAAUGCUUAGUGAGUUCCCCAAUAUACAACUUACGCACAUACGCCUUUCCAGGCCCUGACCUUCCGGUCCAUGUGUCUCAGGGGACUUCCGUCCCUGCUGGGUAAACCUUCCGGUCCUACCCACGCCGACCUUCCGGUCCACCACACAACAUAUUGCCUUCCGGCCCAUAACAUAUUGCCUUCCGGCCCAUAAUAUAAUCGCCUUCCGGCCCAUAACAUACAUAGCACAUAUAACAAAUAACUUACCACAUAUAGCAUACAUAUCACAUAUCAUAUCCGACCUUCCGGUCACACAGUCAACCCCUUCCGGGUACAGUAUAGUGAGAAGACUCACCUCGUAAAUAUUGAAAGCUAGCAAAUCCCGAAGUCACUCGUACUCGAUCCGCCGAGCUACAAUCUCCCUAUAACAUCAUACAUCUCUUAUUAACACUUUUAUCUUCUAAGUUUGACUAUCCCUAAGAAGUCAAACAUAGGUCAACUCUGGUCAACGGUCAACGGUCAACUUGACCGGACUCGGCGAGUGCUAGGGCGACUCGGCGAGUCUAGACGUCCUCACCAAUUCUCUAAGAUUCCCUUUCUACUCGUCGAGUAUCCUCCUUGACUCGACGAGUUCCUCCUGGAAGAAUCGCGGGGCCACCCCGACUCAACUCGCCGAGUCUGAAGAACAACUCGACGAGUCCCAGUUAAUCUUCAAGCUACUCGCCGAGUCUGUUCAUCGAACUCGGCGAGUCCAUGCCAUGCAACCGCUCAAACUGCAUCCUAAGGUCAGAACUGCUCCGACCAUUCCUAGGUCUGGCCUUCCUAGACUGAUCCAUCACGUAAGGUCCUCAUUUCAGUGCUCAUGAUACACCCCAUGACUCAUAAUUUACAUUUUGACCUAAGGCAUAAGGAUUCCAAUCCAAAACCUCCAUUGAUUCCCGAAAUGCUCAGGCAUGGGACAUUCUGGACCUCCAAAGGUCCCAAUACAGGGUUCCAAUCGUUUGGGGGACUAGGGUAACAUUCAAUCUAGUCACAAAAGGGUUCCAUAAACCCUAAUUCCAUAAACACAUCAACAUAGCAGAGUAUACUCGAAUUCUUACCUGGAUGAUGUACUCUCUGUGUCCCCAAUCCUCAGAACGUGACUCCCUUGCUGUUCCUUUAGCCAAGCCCUUCUCUUCCUUGCACAACAACUCCUUCAAAAUCACCAAUGGCCUUUAACCUUGCUCCAGAUGCACACAAUCGAUUUAGGGUUCCUCUCAGAAGGCUAAAAUGAACAAUGACGGCCAAUAAGUCCCUUUUAUACGUCCCAAACCUGAACGGUUAGGGUUUUCGCUAAACAGCGCAGACUCGCCGAGUCCAUAUCCGGACUCGUCGAGUCCAGUCGCGAACCCGCGACCAGGUCUGCGAUCCUACUCGGCGAGUCUAGGCUCCAACUCGCCGAGUCCCCUCUUAAAACACCCAAAAUCAUAAAUAUAACAAUACCUGAAAUUCCGGGCUAUUACAUCUUUUCUUAAAAUAAUAGUUCUGUUUCAAAUGUCUUACAAAACUUAUUAUGCUUUUAUAUUA
rnacentral:lncRNA from 1 species